GGGAGGGGCGGGCGGAGGGGAGGGAGUGCGGAGCUCUCCCGGCUCUCCGCGGCCGGCCGUGCCCCAGGACAGCCCCUUUGUGCCGGAGCAGCUCUUCGCCGGGGUUUCCCCGGUCCCACGCGCCGCCGAGGAGCAAUGGCAUCUAUGGUGCUUGUCUGUGUGUGGGAGGACUCAGAGGGAGACCUGAACACCAGCACCUCUUUCUGCUGUUUUUCCACCCUGCACCAUCAGCAAGCUUGAUGGAAGCAGCACAGGGGUCAGCUCUCGGCCUCAGGAGAACUGGGUGGGACCUCUACAGGAAGAUCGCUGCCAUCAUUUCAAACAGUGGACAACAGAGGGCGUGAUCUCCCCUGCCCUCUUUUCCAAACAGAAGAUUUCUGCUCUUGUGUCUAUUUUCCCUCUCACGGGUACACAGCAGAUCUCAAAGACAAGUACAGUGCCUCCCAGAAACUAUCAUAUCAAAUGCCAAGGUGAAUUUGUUUCCGUGUGCUCAGCCUAACAACAAGAUUCACAUGCAAUAUUGCAGUGCCUGAAGACUAAAACCAAUUUGGAGUUUAUGGGACAGCUCUAUAGAAAGGAAGUUAUUAAGAAGGGAUGUAAUUAUUGAGCUUAAUUACACUGUCAUCUGGCAUUUUUGUUAAAGUCAAACUACAUCUGUAUGCAGCGGCUGAGAAUCGGGUUCAGAAGCCGUAAUGACUAUUUUGGUGGACCAGAAAACUGGGACCUGAAGUAAUCUGGCAGUUGGAUAAUGCUUACAUCAAAGAGGCUGUGUAGCUCUACUGAUGUCAGGCACACAAAUACAGUCAGGGUCACUGCUUCAUUUUACAAGGCUCAGUAUUAACCUGCUCAUACUUCUGGUGAAGCAGAUUUCCCAUCGUGCAAGAGUGAAGCUCCAGAAAGGCUGUAUGCCUGACAAUUGGGAAUGCAGCCUGAACAAUAACUUCUUUUAAAGGCACUGCUUGAGAAUAACCUCAUUCUGUCAGCGAGUACUCAUCAUGACACAAGAGCAGAAAAGCCAGCUUCGGUGCUUCCUUCCUGUUUUGUGAAGUUAUCUAUGGCUGAUGACUGAACUGGCACUCCUUUAUUUAUUUAUUUUUUUUUUUUCAUUAAAAACAUUGCAAGAAAGCAAAGGGACAGAAUAGAAGUUCUUAUACACCAUUACUACUAAGUGCAUUGCUACCUGCAGCUGUGAUACCUAGAUUUAGGAGGCUUCCAUUACAGCCUUGUGCUGCAUCACUUCAAUUCAGUCACAGAGCCACUCAACAUCCAGUCUUGGUCAGACUAGGAACCAGGUACACAGAUAUUUCCUGGAUGGACAGAGCAAUGCACUGAAUCCUCACAACGCAGGGAUCACACUGGACUGCCCAUAAUCAUGAAAACUGCAUGAGGGAUCUAAUGGAAAUCUAUAGUUGCUGCUUCCUCUUUCCUUAAAAGAGAAAUGUGCAUCUUUGGUGGAGAAAAAAUAAAACACAGAGUAUAUUUUUUGCUUUUCAGUAUUAGUUCUUCUGUAGAAAUGAGAGGCAACAGAAGGCAUUGUCCAACAAGACAGAUGCCUGCUUUGUUUGAUCAUAUGCCAUAGAGGAGGACAAUAAAUGGCUUUGACUC
rnacentral:lncRNA from 7 species